GAGGAAUAUUGGACAAUGGGCGAGAGCCUGAUCCAGCCAUGCCGCGUGCAGGAAGACUGCCCUAUGGGUUGUAAACUGCCUUUAUACAGGAAGAAACACUCCCUCGUGAGGGAGCUUGACGGUACUGUAAGAA
rnacentral:rRNA from 1 species